AAUCGGUCUUUCAUCUUCCCUGUUUAGUCGUCAUUUCCUCCCCUUUUCUCUCAGUCAGAUCGAAAAGCAAGCAAGAGCGUCUUUCUUCCCCUAUUUUUUUUUUCAAAAAAAAAAAAAAAACUUUUGCUUAUUGGAAUAGAUUAUCGCAACUUUUGUCUCGAUUUUCCUUCCAUGUCGAUGUUUCAUCGGAUCAAAUGCUGCGGGGAGAUGAGAUUUUCCGGUAGGAAUUGGUUUCUGGCAGUUUCCUUUCCCUUAGCUUCUCCUUGAAAACUCUUUUCAAGAAUAGUAUUCUUUUUCUUAUAAUAUUACUCAUGGCCGAUUCGGUACGGUGCGAUUUGUUCAGUUGUGUAAAUUUGAGCUAUGCUCCUUUCCUUGAUGUCAUUCAUAUGUACUCUAUCUUUACUGUUCGUUAUUCGACAUAAGUUUUUUUUUUCUUCUUUUAAAUUUUUCCUCGAAAACGCGGAAGAUUAAACGGUUAAUGGGACGUGGUAGCUAGUUUUGAAUAUUAUCGUACAACUGUUCUUCUGGUCAUGAAUUUUGUCUCUUCCCCAUUAGGUUCCCCGAACGGUCUGAUAAUCAGCUCUUUUCUGCACAAUAUAAGAGCUGACAGCCAUGGUUUCCUUCGAAGCCAUAUGCGGCAAUGACCAUUCUUGGUUUCCUCCCACCCCUCUUCCUCCCCUCCCCCCUGUGUCGAUUGACAGUUGUUGUUUGCGGGAGUAGCAUCAUCAAGAUUCACAUGCUGAAUCUGCUGGGAGGUGAUCUGACAUCCAUGCCGGUUCCUGGGAGUGAGAAUCUUGAUGAUGCUGCAUCGGCAAUAAAUAACUAUAAAGAAACCGAUUACCAAGCAAGGGACGUUCGGCCCGAGCUAUAGCCAACUGAGUACCCAUGAGAGGGAUCCAAUCCCGACCACAUAGUACUCCCUCAGACGCCUCCUCGAAGCUCCACUUUUAAUUUGCCUGGGAAUUAAACGAGCUUAGCCCAAGUCGAUGUGCGGCUUGUGAGGCGGUUCGAUCGUAAUGCUGGGUGUGAGUCUCAUGGAUCCCAGCACCAUAUUGUUGGAAUAGUAAACACCAGCAGCCACGCACGGGGCGGAAGAAUCAGGUAAGAUUUAUAGAACGUCACAUUUGAUAACACAUAUCCAUGGAUAUUAUACAGUUAUCAUCAUAGUUUUAAUGGCUAUAAUUUUAUGGGCAUCUCAAUACAUUUCGUUGAGCGUAUGAAGCUUAGCAUUGAUGAGACUGACUCUUCUUUUAGACUACCUGAAUGUGCAAAAUCAAAUGUGAGAACAACAUAUAAAUAAAUGUGUCCCAUAUCAUCUAUCACUCAUAUGAUAUUGUUAGGGUGGACCAACUCCAACUGCAUCUAGAAAGACAUCAAGAAAAUACAUAUGGGCUCUCCAGCCUCCUGCAGCUAGUGCAGAAUGUCUUCUCAAACAUGGAUUGCAAUUAAUCUUUUCGGGCGUAAAAGAAAUGCUUUUUUCAUUGAAAAUAUCUUAAAGUGAUGGGCGUUUACAUAUCUGAGAUAUAUAGUUUGUGCCUUCCAUCGCUGUCGGUCUAAGAGCUUUUGGUCAUACAUAAUAUAAUGUGCUGAUAAUACUUCUCGGCCGGUCAACUUUGACUUGCCCUUAGAAGAUUACCAAUGUGUGCCAGCUGAAAAACAUUAGUACAAAUGUAUGAGCUGUUUGCAGUAUAACUUUGGUGUCUGAGUUUCAAAAUUACUGUAAGCAGUUGAUUCCCAUUUGGGAUUGUUUUCUAAUUUAUAUCGAACAGUCUUUCUUAACUUAAAAAUUAUAAACUUCUUAUAUAUACUGAAGGAUCGUGGUCAGUUUGGUAGAAAGUGAGAUCAAAACAACAAUCAUUCCAAUAAAAUGUGGAUCCAAACAGCUGAUCAUGUACAAAGAACAACUAACGACAUACGUUUAUAUCGUUCUUGUGUGUGCUACUUCUCUGUAAUUUUAAGAUCAGACUCUCCAAAGCAUACUAUACUCUUCGAAUGAAAAUUUUAGUAAUGAAGCAACUUUUCCACAGGCCAUAUCUCCUUGAUCUGCCAUAUUAUACUCUUCAAUUUAUAUCUAAUUAAGGAAUUUCCCUCACGAAGUUUAUCACCAAGUAAUCUGCCCCAAGAUAUAUUGUUUUCAAUCAAUGUACAUGCGUUUUGUGUAAGAUUAAAUUAGACUAAUAUAUCGAGGAUACUUCUUUCUUGUAAGUUCCUUCGUAUCUACCGGAGACUUUCGGGAUACUUCAGUCUGGACCUUGAGAUAUUUUCUAACUCUUGAGAUCUCGAAUAUCAUAUGAUAUCUACCUACUAAAACUGACCCUUGAGGUAUCUAGCCCAUCAAUAUCGAAGAAGAUAUUUCUGCUAGUAACUGGUCAAAGGGACAUUAAUAUCACCCUUGGAAUAUAUAUUCCAUCUGUAUAUACUAGAAAUUUACCCGUGCAUAUCACGGUGCCUAACCCGCGAGUACUGCGCUUCAACUAUAAAUGGUUUUUUUCCAAUAUGCUCAUUGAUAGAUUAAUUUGGAAGAUGAAGGAAAAAAAUUAAGGGUGAGAAAAAUAAAAUAUAAGAAUUGAAAAUAUAACUUGAAAAGAAUUGAAAGUAAUGUGAUAGGAUGUAGGAUUAUGAGGUUGAGAGGAGAGUGAAAUAAGGAGGUUGACACGUGGGAAGAAAGAGAGAGGGAAGAAUAAUGUUAAGUGAACAAAAUUAUUCAAUCCCUCUCUUUUAUUUAAAUUUUAUCAUUUUUAAACUAAGAAUAUGAAGGUAUUUUUUUUUUCAAAUUUUCAAGCAUAUCCUAUAAGGUGAUAGUUACAAAAUCUAAAUUCGCUUAAGUAAAAGUAUAAAAGAUAUAUAAGAUAAGAUGUGUGUGUGUGUGACUAACUAUAGCUGAAGAUGAACUGGUCUAGUUAUACUCUUCAGUCUUGAUCUGCACCGUGAUAUCGCAAUCCCAAGAUGCUGCAAAAUAAGGUCCACACAUGCAUGUGUAUAUGUAUAUAUCUCCAGCACAUUCAUUAUACUUGCUUGUAAGAUCAUGAUGCGCUUGGUACUAUCUCUCAGCUACAAUGAUUGUAGGGUCUCUCUUCCUUUACCAGAAAAGAUAUUAUCCAGACUCCAUUUUUCUCCUUCUUCUGGCAUCCGCGUUUUAGUAUAUAUCACGAUGAUGACAUAUAUGGGUCGGAUUUCAAUCGAUGCUUGUAUCUGUAUAUGUCUUGGAGUUAGAUGAAAGCAAUUGCUAUAUAUUUUCCUUUUGACUCGACAUGUGGCAAAUGGCCUGCAUCACAUAUAAUAUAUUGAUUACAUGAAUUUAGCAAGUCGGUCGUGUUAGUUAUAUGUUUCGUGUCUGAGUUAAUUAGAUGAUUGCUAAUUCCAUAUUCUAUCCUCCUUCAACAAUUAUCCUUCAUUCACGCAUAUAUGGAAGUUGGAAUCAUGAUCUGCAAGUGGACGUGGCCAUUGGAUCCUCUUACGAUAUGAGGUUAUGACGAGCCAGUGCGCAUUUUAAUUUCUUUAGGAGGUGUGCGCGAAGAGAAGAUUUGAUGGGACUAAAUAUUCAGUGAGUAUUAUUGAUUCAUCUACUAUGUAAGAGUAAUAACCAAUGAAGAUACUUAUAGAUGGGAAUUUGUGGGAUCACUGCGAGACAAACUUACUAUUUAUAUGCAUCCUUAAUAGAUAUUACUCAAUCAAGUAACCGAAUAAUACUCACCUAUUAUUUGCU